rnacentral:rRNA from 1 species
GUGGGGAAUAUUGGACAAUGGGCGAAAGCCUGAUCCAGCCAUGCCGCGUGUGUGAAGAAGGUCUUCGGAUUGUAAAGCACUUUAAGUUGGGAGGAAGGGCAGUAAGCUAAUACCUUGCUGUUUUGACGUUACCGACAGAAUAAGCACCGGCUAACUUCGUGCCAGCAGCCGCGGUAAUACGAAGGGUGCAAGCGUUAAUCGGAAUUACUGGGCGUAAAGCGCGCGUAGGUGGUUUUGUAAGUUGGAGGUGAAAUCCCCGGGCUCAACCUGGGAACUGCCUCCAAAACUGCAUGACUAGAGUACGGUAGAGUGUAGUGGAAUUUCCUGUGUAGCGGUGAAAUGCGUAGAUAUAGGAAGGAACACCAGUGGCGAAGGCGACUACCUGGACUGAUACUGACACUGAGGUGCGAAAGCGUGGGGAGCAAACAGGAUUAGAAACCCGGGUAGUCC